GGUCCUGACUAGUUCAACAGUAGAGCAUGGCAUUGAAGUUGCCAGGUUUAGGGGUUCGAUUCCCACUGGGACCA